rnacentral:rRNA from 1 species
GACGAACGCUGGCGGCGUGCCUAAUACAUGCAAGUCGAACGCAGUGGGGACGGGUGAGUAACACGUGGGUAACCUCCCAUCAGAGGGGAUAACACUUGGAAACAGGUGCUAAACCGAUACUGAUGGAUGGUCCCGCGGUGCAUUAGCUAGUUGGUGGGGUAACGGAUCACCAAGGCCACGAUGCAUAGCGGAGCUGAGAGGGUGAGCAGCCACACUGGAACUGAGACAAGGCCCAGACUCCUACGGGAGGCAGCAGUGGGGAAUCUUCGGCAAUGGACGAAAGUCUGACGGAGCAACGCCGCGUGAGUGAAGAAGGUUUUCGGAUCGUAAAGCUCUGUUGGUAGAGAAGCGGUAUCUAACCAGAAAGCCACGGCUAACUACGUGCCAGCAGCCGCGGUAAUAC